GCGGCUUAUGGGCAGACAUUAGUGAGACUCAUACGUAUUUCUUUGUCACAUGCUGACCUUAGCAAAGCACCCAGAGACAUUUUCAACAAAGGAUUUGACUUGGGGUCGGUAAAACUGGAUGUGAAAACAAACUCAUGCAGGAAAAUGAAAGAAGCCUUAGGGAAUAGAAAUGGGGUGAUAUGGUAUGACUUUCAUAGAAAGUCAGGAACAUUGAUUACACUUAGGGAAUAUAAAUUAUUGAAGACCAGAACUGUCAUGGUUUGAAACUGACAUUUGAUACUAACUCCCCAAAAAACACAGGAAAGAAAGGGGAUCACAUGAAGACUGUUUGCAAACAGGAGAGUAUAAACUUGAUGGAAUAUUGACUUUGAUUUUGUCAGGUCUGCCAUCCUUGGAUCACUGUCUUUGGUUUUCAGAGCUGGCACGUUGACCAGAUGACCACUGACAGUGCCACAUCAAAGCUGAGAAGGAAUCAGUUUGCAGUGGGCAACGGCACACUGAUACCAAUAAUGGGCAGCAUUUAGAGGUUCAGUCUGUCAAAAGUAUGUAAAGACCUUGAUACCCAGCUUGGACAUCAGGCACUAAGCGAUUCCAGGCUGCUACCGCAGCUAAAUAGCCAUUGAUCCCACUGCUUCCUUUUCUGAAGAAGUCAACAAUUCCACUCUAAUUGGAACAGACCCUACUCAGCCCCUGAACCCUGGUAUGACAUUC
rnacentral:lncRNA from 1 species